CUGAAGAUAGGGGAAGAAGGUCUAUGAUUUUGAGGUAGGAGAUGUGAGU
rnacentral:misc_RNA from 1 species